GGUGACAUUCUGUUCCUGCCUCUUUUCAGUGUCAGUUUUCGUGAAAAUGACUGAUUCCAAAGCAAAUUUUUAAGAAGUUCUCAGCAAUACUUAUGGGAAGACGCAUACCGUAACAAUAAAAUGCAUUAAACGACCGCGGCACUACCUAUUUUUGAUAGAGCAAGACUCAACCCUCUGCCCUGACAACGAACGUUUAGAAAGUGACUUAAUUACUUCAUGGAGGGGGUUCUAGAUAUUCUAUUUUGAGGUCAUUCGAUGCCGCGGAGGGUGAGAUUGCCUCGAUGGGGAAGGGAUUGGCAUGCGUUCAUGGGGAAAGAUGCCUGGCCAUUCUGCUCUGCUGGAUUGCUGUGCGCCCUCGGAUGAUCUUGUCUCCCAGGUAUUAGAUGAUUAGAGACUAUACGACACAAUGGAGGCUCACCCACAGCGUCGUUUUCGCUAGACAGGGCAAAAAGCAUCUCUCUCUCUCUCUCUCUCUCUCUCUCUCUCUCUCUCUC